GACGAACGCUGGCGGUGUGCUUCAUACAUGCAAGUCGAGCGAUAAGGCCCCUUCGGGGGUACAUAAGCGGCGGACGGGUGAGUAAUACGUAGGAAAUCUGCCUUAAGGAGGGGGACAACAUCGGGAAACUGGUGCUAAUACCCCAUAUGAGAUAUCUUGAAAUGGGUAUCUUGAAAGUUCCGGCGCCUUAAGAUGAGCCUGCGGCUGAUUAGCUAGUUGGUGGGGUAAAUGCCUACCAAGGCGACGAUCAGUAGCUGGUCUGAGAGGAUGAUCAGCCACAAUGGGACUGAGACACGGCCCAUACUCCUACGGGAGGCAGCAGUAGGGAAUUUUGCGCAAUGGGCGAAAGCCUGACGCAGCAACACCGCGUGAGCGACGAAGCCCCUUGGGGUGUAAAGCUCUGUCAGUGGGGACGAAGCCUGACGGUACCCACAGAGGAAGCAUCGGCUAACUACGUGCCAGCCGCCGCGGUAAAAC
rnacentral:rRNA from 1 species